CCUUUGAAUUCCUUGCAAAUACAAACACUCGCUAAAUAACAACUUUGUCACCUUGCAUUUAUAACUAUUUCAUAUCAAUCUGUUUUUAGUUUUUGCAUAUAUUUCUAUGAUGAGUUAACAGACCUGUUCUGAAGUAAUUUGAGGACAAAAAAAAAUAUAAUGUUAUACUGAUGCUACAAAAUUUUCCUGAAGUUCAAUUUCUCGAUAAGUAUUUCUUUAUAAAUAAAGAUAACUUUAUUAUCCACAGGUACAUUAGAAAUACUGUACUUGCCUAGCUUCGCAUUUCAUCAUGUAUAAAUGGACCAUACAUGGAAAAUACUAGUCAUGACCAGGCUGUUUUACGAGAAUUUCAGGUAUAAAGAAAUCCUACAAUUGGGUGCUCUGACUUCUGAAAAUCAGAUAUAAGUAGCAGCUCUGAUGCAGCGCCUCCCUAGGAAAACCCUAACCUAUACUUAUGAUAUAGGAGCUUCUCGAGAGUGAAAAACCACAUAACUUUGACCAGGUAAGCAAGAUGAUUAAUGAGAAGCUACAAGAAAUGUGUAUUUGUUUAUUUUACAUUAUAAAUAAUUUGAAGUUGUAAUUAAUAAAUUUAAUAGAAAUAAAGUUUAAAUAAGAAAUAGGUUUAUUUUAUUUAUUCUCUAUCACUAUUUACAAUAACAUUACAUUCAUAUAAGUCAAUUAGGUUUCUUAGCAAGUAAUCCCAUUCGCCACACACAAUAAUAUUGUCCAAAAGCUCCCAUGGUGUGUUAAAUUGUCUAUAAAAGGGAAUAGUUGUGAACAACAACACGUGCGAAAAGCUGAAAGCUGCAAGAAAUGGCAACGUACCUUUACUCCAGUCCACUAGACUUAUAGACUACAAGCCAGUGUGCAUCGCUAUGUACUAUGGCCCAUGGCCACGAUAUCUGACUUCAUGGCAAGUGGUAAUGGUCAGGGGUGUAGAAAAUUAUAAGUCUAUUUGUGUAAACAGAAAAUAGGAUUUAAUUCCUUUUCUCAUUUGCUCCGUCAAAUCAAUCAUCAGGCACUAAAAUCAAAAUCAAACAAUUUGAAAGCCU